CCUACGGGUGGCAGCAGUGGGGAAUAUUGCACAAUGGGCGCAAGCCUGAUGCAGCAAUGCCGCGUGAGUGAAGAAGGCCUUCGGGUCGUAAAGCUCUUUCGACAAGGAAGAAGGGCAUAUAUGUGAAUAAUAUAUGUGUCUGACGGUACUUAGAGAAGAAGCACCGGCUAACUCCGUGCCAGCAGCCGCGGUAAUACGGAGGGUGCAAGCGUUGUUCGGAAUUACUGGGCGUAAAGAGCACGUAGGCGGGUUCGUCAGCCAAUUGUGAAAGCCCAAGGCUCAACCUUGGAAUUGCAGUUGGAACUGCGAAUCUUGAAUACCUGAGAGGAUGAGGGAAUUCCUGGUGUAGAAGUGAAAUUCGUAGAUAUCAGGAGGAACACCCGAGGCGAAGGCGCUCGUCUGGCAGUGUAUUGACGCUGAGGUGCGAAAGCGUGGGGAGC
rnacentral:rRNA from 1 species